rnacentral:rRNA from 1 species
AAUGAACGCUGGCGGCAUGCCUAACACAUGCAAGUCGAGCGGACGGAGGGAGCUUUUUCCUGGAUUCAGCUGCGGGCGGGUGAGUAAUGCCCAUGAAUCUGCCUGGCAUUUGGGUAUAACGUCCCUACACGGGCGCUUAUACCGCACACGUCAUUAUGGUGAACCUGGUGGUUCUUCGGACCUCACGCGAUCUGAUGAGACUAGGUGGGAUUAGCUAGCUGGUGGGGUAAGGGCCUACCAAGGCGACGAUGCGUAGCUGGUCUGAGAGGCUGAUCAGCCACCCUGGAACUGAGACACGGUCCAGACUCCUACGGGAGGCCGCAGUGGGGAAUAUUGGGCAAUGGGCGAAAGCCUGAUCCAGCCAUGCCGCGUGUGUGAAGAAGGUCUUCGGAUUGUAAAGCCCUUUUAGUAGGGAGGAACAGCUGUAUGUUUAUACCUGGCUGUAUUGACGGUACCAACAGAAUAAGCACCGGCUAACUACGUG